rnacentral:rRNA from 1 species
GACGAACGCUGGCGGCGUGCUUAACACAUGCAAGUCGAACGGAAAGGCCCUGCUUUUGUGGGGUGCUCGAGUGGCGAACGGGUGAGUAACACGUGAGUAACCUGCCCUUGACUUUGGGAUAACUUCAGGAAACUGGGGCUAAUACCGGAUAGGAGCUCCUGCUGCAUGGUGGGGGUUGGAAAGUUUCGGCGGUUGGGGAUGGACUCGCGGCUUAUCAGCUUGUUGGUGGGGUAGUGGCUUACCAAGGCUUUGACGGGUAGGGCCUGAGAGGGUGACCGGCCACAUUGGGACUGAGAUACGGCCCAGACUCCUACGGGAGGCAGCAGUGGGGAAUAUUGCACAAUGGGCGGAAGCCUGAUGCAGCAACGCCGCGUGCGGGAUGACGGCCUUCGGGUUGUAAACCGCUUUCGCCUGUGACGAAGCGUGAGUGACGGUAAUGGGUAAAGAAGCACCGGCUAACUACGUG